UGCCUUUGAUGGAGAAGAAUGAGGAGGAUGUUAAGGAAUGCCACGUUGACCCAUCACCUUGGCUGCAGAUGGCCUCCCUCCUGUGAUCAGACUCUGAGCAUCUCACCUGAUACAUGCUUCAUGCUGACACUCAGGCCCAGACUUUGGUCCCACACUGAGUCCCAACUUUGACCUCAGCCUGAGACACAACCUGGUUAUUGUCCUGGUAGAGACAGUUCCCCGAAUCCAGCCUCUGCCCAAACCCUCCUCCUAGACAUGGCUGAGCCCUAAUUUUGAUACAAAAUACUUGAAUUCAUCUUCAGAUUCAGUUCUGAUCCUAUACUGAACUAACUGAACACUACCAGGGAUCUGACUCCCUGAUAUUCGCUGGCGUCUCCCUGCGUGUUCUGAACCUAUGCUGACCAGCACCAGAAGGGUUCAGAGGGGUGAUUUCUUGCCUUGGGAUGAGAGAGCAAUGUUAGGGAUGACCAGCAGAGGGCGUGCAACAUCAGGUUCUAGAGGCAAGCGUCCAAGAGCCCACCUGUGAGCUAAAAAAAUUAAAGUUCUCGUUUUUGACACCAAAACUUUGGGGUUAUGUGGGUUCUUACAGUCAUGAAUCUUCUCCUUCUGGCUCACCUGGGCUCAGCACUGGGUAUGCACAGAAUGUGCUUAACUGUUUACUGGCAUCUCAGGUCUCAAGAGGACUGAAGUCACCCCACCCCCAAAUCAGCAUUUCUGUCACAUGCUUAAUACAGCUCCACUGCCUUCCUGGUAACCAGUUAUGUUUGGUCCUAUUGAGCAGAAAUCUGCCUCUCCACAGUGUUCACAUUUCAUCUUAGCCCUGUCCUUGGGACCACACUGACCUCAUUGGUCCAUCUGCCAAACAUCACCAUCUGCAUCCUUCAAAUCUGCUUCUCUCCAGGACCCAUGCCUUCAUGGACUCAUCCCCUGCCUUUCUCAAUUCUACUCACUAAGAUCAUGUUUCCCUGAAUGGGUUUCAGUUUGUGGUGCCCAGUUAUGAUUAGCUUUUUCCAGGAGAGCUGGUGCAGGGUACGAAUGAGCCGGCCUGCCUCCCUCCUCUGACUCUGAACUUCUUUCCACAUAGGCUCAGAUUACAUCAGUUUUUUCUGUGGUUGUUGUUUUGUUUUUCUUUUGAGAUGGAGUCUCGCCCUGUUGCCUAGGCUGGAGUGCAAUGGUGUGAUCUCGGCUCACUGCAACCUUUGCCUCCUGGGUUCAAGCAAUUCUUCUGCCUCAGCCUCCUGAGUAGCUGGAACUACAGGUGUGCACCACCACACCUGGCUAAUUUUUGCAUUUUUAGUAGAGACAGG
rnacentral:lncRNA from 10 species